AUAUUAGAAAUGGACGAAAGUCUGAUCUAGCAACACCGCGUGUGCGAAGAAGGCCUUCGGGUCGUAAAGCACUUUUUGAAAGGAAUAGGAAGGAAUGUACUUCCAGAAUAAGUCUCGGCUAACUACGUGCCAGCAGCCGCUGUAACACGUAGGAGGCGAACGUUAUCCGGAUUUACUGGGCGUAAAGCGCGUGUAGGUGGUACUGUAAGUAGGGCGUGAAAGCUCCUGGCUCAACUGGGAGAGGCCGUUCUAAACUACAGAACUAGAGGAUGGUAGAGGGAGGUGGAAUUCCAGGUGUAGCGGUGGAAUGCGCAGAUAUCUGGAGGAACACCGGUGGCGAAGGCGGCCUCCUGGACCAUUCCUGACACUCAGACGCGAAAGCUAGGGUAGCAAACG
rnacentral:rRNA from 1 species